AUCUCACUUCCAAACUCAGUGUCGCCACUCUCCUCUCCACACACACACAUACACACACGUAACCUAGCUUCUACACGGAUCGGGAUCCCCUGCAGUACUGCAUGGGCCACUGCCGCGUGGGCUCCGCGUGCGACAGGGCCCACGCGCAGUGACCCAACGGCACGGUGCAGUACGUCAGAGGAUCCGUGUCCCUUCUACACCACCUUGCGCAAGAAUUUUAGCUUUCAGCUGCAUUAGCAUGGAAGGAGACAAAGGCAACCGAUAUGGGAAACAGGUCGCCGUGGUCACAGGAGGCAACAGGGGGAUCGGGCUAGAAAUAUGCAGGCAACUGGCUUCCAGUGGAGUCACCGUAGUGUUGACAGCAAGGGACGCGGAGCGGGGCGCGGGAGCAGCCAGCACGCUUGGGCAACAACCCAACGUCGUCUUCCAUCAGCUGGAUGUCGGCGAUCCGUCCAGCGCCGCACGCUUAGCUGGUUUUAUCGAGGAGAAGUUUGGCAGGCUGGAUAUAUUAAUUGAUCAACAAUGCAGGAAUUACUGGAACGGCAAGUAACGUCGACGAUCCAGAAGCUUUUCGUCUGGAGCUCGCGGGCAUGGAUCUCAUGCAGAGGAUCGAAGCAAUCAACAGGCACAGCACGGAACCGUACGAGCAAGCAGAGAAGUGCCUCAACACCAACUACCACGGGAUCAAGGCUGUCACAAAAGCGCUGCUCCCGCUUCUACAGUCCUCGUCCCAUGGAAGGAUCGUUAACCUGUCGUCCUACUAUGGACUACUCAGGUUUUUCAGCGGAGACGAACUGAAAGAGGAGCUCAGCAGCAUCGACGGCCUGUCCAAACAGAGGCUGGACGAGCUGUCAGAGCUGUUUCUCAAGGACUUCAAGGAUGGGCAGCUGGAGGCUCAAGGGUGGCCGAAUGAAGGAGGGUUCGCCGCGUACAAGGCGUCCAAGGCGCUCGCGAACGCCUAUUCCCGGAUCCUUGCGAAGGAGCACCCGUCGCUGCGCAUCAACUGUGUGCAUCCCGGCUAUGUCCAGACGGACAUGAACUUCGGGUCUGGGCAUCUGACGGUCGAGGAGGGCGCGCGGGCCGGGAGCUCUCAUGCUGGCCAUGGAGCCCAAGGGAGGCGUCACUGGCGCGUUUUUCGACCACACCGUGGUUGCGUCCUUCGUGUAAUAUGCUCGCCCUUGCACUCGCACCGUUAGCUAUCGCAGUAAUAAAAUUCCACAGAACCAAAGGAGGAUACACUAUUAGGUCCUGAAUCAGAUCUGUUCUAUCCCCUCCCCUGGGAAAAUAUCCUCUCGCUGUCGCUGGGUAGAUGGCCGUCCAAUUUCAUUUUGGUUGCCGAUGAGUGUUCUCAUUCGCAGCGAAUUAGUCUAUCUUGUAUGAUUCAUCUGUUAUGAAUAUAAAAGAAAUAAGAAUCCUCGUAUCAAAAAAC